rnacentral:rRNA from 1 species
GGUUGAUCCUGCCAGUAGUCAUAUGCUUGUCUCAAAGAUUAAGCCAUGCAUGUCUAAGUAUAAACUUCUUUAUACCGUGAAACUGCGUACAGCUCAUUAUAUCAGUAAUCAUUUCUUUGAUGGUACCUUACUACAUGGAUACCCGUAGUAAUUCUAGAGCUAAUACAUGCGUCAAGGGUAGUCUCUCUCGAGACUACUUGUGCUUAUUAGAUAUAAACUCAAUGCGGGUGUUAAAGCCCGGUCUCAUUGGUGAAUCAUAGUAACUGUUCGAAUCGAAUGGCUUUAUGCUGUC